UUGACUGGAUAAAUAUUUGAAAUUUUCAGCAGGGAAUCAUCUUAUGAAGCAAGCUUACAUAAUUAAUACAGUGUACAUGUUUUACUUUGAACAGUGUAAAAAUGUUUGAAUAAAUGAUAAUUAUUAAGUUUGAAUUUAUCUUUAAUUGCGUAAAGAAACAAUCUUUCAAUUCAUUUUUCCAGGAGUUGUCCCCUCCAACAUUAACAGUCCACAUGUGAUGUGUCGAUCGGAGGAUAUUCCUUUGCUUGUUCAUUCCUCAAUAAACGGGCAAUUAGACGGAAUGGUGUUUCUUAAACCAGCUAAGGACUCCAUUGUUGUAUCAGGACAGACCUAUAAUGAAAAGAUGAAAAAGUGUGAAGUGAGUUAUGGAGGGAGUGUUCUUCAUUAUCAAACAAGAUUCAGAAAAUAAAGUGUCUGUUUGUGAGGAAGAAUAGUACGGAAUGAAUUGAGACAAAUGAAAUUGAGCAACAUAAAAAUGUGAACUAUUUAUAAUUACUUCUAUUGGAUCCGAAUAACAUUUAUCUAAGGAUUUUGGAUAAAAUUUUAUAUAUCUAUGGGAAAAUGAGUAAAAUAAUUAUGACAUAUUGAAACAUUCAUCGUGACUUACAUCAAUCAAUAGUUACAAUAAUAAUAAAGUUUACUAAACCAAUCAAUAUUUAUGAUUAAAAAAAUUUGUAUUACCUCUUCCAAAUUCAAAAAGGACAGUGUUCAAAUAAUGGCAAAUAUUUAUGUUUUUUAAUUUUUCUUUUAUGUAUAAUUGAUUGUUUUAAUUUUUUGUUAAAACUACCUCGAAAACAAAUUACCUCAAUCUAUUAAAUAUAGGAAAAUGAAUUAAGACAUAUUUUCAUGUCAUAUUUUUUCAGCAUUUACUUAAAUCUAAAACUAGAUUUACAUGAAUAUAUAUCCCGAUCUGCAUUUCAUCUGAAUGGUAUUUGAAUGAUUAAAUCUCUUCAAGACUACAAGACAUUUUUAUAUUUUUCACAAUGUGUAAUUUAAAUCAUUUUCUUGAUGCUUUGUUUAUUAGCUUGUUGUGAACGACAACAGUUCCGUGAAACGAAGCAGCAUCAAAAAGAAAAACAUGGUCUACUUCAACGCUGUAAACUUCAUUAUAAUGAUGUAAGCAGCUUGAUGAAGUUUGCAAUAAUUGUUUCAUAUUUUAGAAUUACUAUUCCUGUACAUGUAAACAAUGAAGUAACAUUUUAUUUGUCUGUCAAUACAAUGUUUUGAAUCUCAACAAACUAACAACAAGACAGAAAGAAAAUAAAGAAGAAAUGUUGAAUACAGCAUAACGAUAGACAUAAGCUCAAAAAAAACGAGAAAACAAAUGAAACCAACUUUUAAAUAAAUGCUAAUUUUCUCUACAACCUAUUUUCGUUCAAAAAUAAGAACAUAGUAUUUUUACUUAAACUUUUAUUUCAUACCAGAAUUUUACAAAAAUGUGAUGUGAAUACUAAUUAACUCUUUGAUCAAAGCUUAUCUAAAUGUUAAAACUGUGUUGCGAGAAAUGUAUAUGUAAAAUGGCAUGACCUACGUUUUGCACUAUAUAAUUUUCCUAAGAAUAUUGAUAUUUUUUUCUAUUUUUUUUUGUUUGAAUAUGAACGUUCAAUUUGUAUGUUUGUUAUCAUGUGUAAUGGAUAUGCCAAAAUACAGAUACCAUUUUAUCAAUUGUGAUAUAACUACGAUUUUGUAAUAUGCAUAAAUAAAAUUAAAGAUUUA